rnacentral:rRNA from 1 species
AACCCGCCUGCAUGAAGUCGGAAUCGCUAGUAAUCGCGAGUCAGCAUAUCGCGGUGAAUACUUCCCGGGUCUUGUACACACCGCCCGUCACACCAUGGGAGUUGGCAACACCCGAAGUCGAUGAGCUAACCGUAAGGAGGCAGUCGCCUAAGGUGGGGUUGAUAACUGGGGUGAAGUCGUAACAAGGUAGC